rnacentral:rRNA from 1 species
UUAAAAAGCUCGUAGUUGGAUUUCUGCGGGGGCGGGGCGGCCGGUUGCUUAUAGACAACUCGAGCUAGCACUUCCCCUGCAUCCUGCCGCGAACCGUGCUACCAUUAGUUUGGUGGCGCCGGGGAUCGGCUCGUUUACUUUGAGAAAAAUAGAGUGUUCAAAGCAGGCCACACGCCUUGAAUAAGUUAGCAUGGAAUAAUGAUAAAGGACUUCGGUUCUAUUUUGUUGGUGUUCGGGACUGAAGUAAUGAUUGAUAGGGACAGUUGGGGCGGUCCGUAUUCCAAAGCGAGAGGUGAAAUUCUUAGACCUUCGGAAGACGAACAGCUGCGAAAGCGUUCCGCAAGGAUGUUCCCUUUGAUCAAGAACGAAAGUUGGGGGAUCGAAGACGAUCAGAUACCGUCGUAGUCUCAACUAUAAACUAUACCAGCUAGGGAUCAGCCACGUUUAAUUACACCGACUUGGUUGGC